AGUUACUGUCCAUGUUCAGUCCUGACCUGAUCGCUCCACAUGUGCAUCAGGGCUCGGUGAAGCCCAGGUACCGAACACACAACACACCAGAGUAAGUCCACGCACACAAACGCUGCUCGACGCCUGUGUCACACGUGGGAGCAUUUGUUUCAGGAGUUUGUUGGAGGAGGCCGAGGAGCUGUCACUUUCGCACUAGGUGACAAGAAAUGAUGAAAAAUGCCACAAAAUGACUCCUCUAUCGUCACGUAUUUCAUUCCCUCCACGUCUGUGCAGGUGACGGGCUGGAAGCUUGUGCUGCUGUUCGUGCCCGUGGAUUCCAGGUGUGCCUGUUCACCAAAUGUGGGCUCCUCUGCUUCCUACGUACAUGUCACCGCUCACAUUGUAUGUAAGUGAUAGUAGGAGUGUGUGUGUGUGUGUGUGUGUGUGUGUGUGUGUGUGUGUGUGUGUGUGUGUGUGUGUGUGUGUGUGUGUGUGUGUGUGUGUGUGUGUGUGUGCGCGCGAUCUCUCUGCGUGAUCUAGGUCGCUGCGGAUGUCGAGGCUGUGGUGCAGGACGUGGAGGCAGCCCUGCAGAUGCUGCAGAAGCGGAUGCGUCACACUUUGGUUCACGUUGCUGUCUGGAGCACACAUCAAGAAAAGGAGGAUCGGUGUCAGUGUUUGGGAGGCGGCAGCACAAAGCAGCGACUGUACAAAGCAGCUCUCCUGAAAGCACUGCAGGAUUCGCUGAGUCACGCCUUGGAGAAUCCACAGUGGCACAGCCGCAGCGAGGCGUUCAGCGCCGUGCUGCAGUCUGUCCCAGCUGUCCCUGAAAGCAACUCAGACUCCGUGAGUGAAGGAAAAAUCCAGCUCCAUUUACAAUAUAAUGAAUAUAAACGAUCCACACGUCUAUAAUGAGCAUAUGUGAUAUUUUUACUCAAAGGACCUGAGCCAGACAGCUGUUGAGCUGUGGACAAACCUGGUAGGUUCCUUUAAUGAGUGACAGAUGAAGCAGCAUGGAUGUGGGUGCGGCCGUGACCCCUAAAUGACCCUGCAUGUGAGAUGUGAAAUGAACUGAUGAGGAUCCCUUCACUCAAAGCAAGAGCGCGUAGAACAAUGACCGUAGCGCGCUGCUCCGUCCAGACAUCAGAUAAAAGCAAUAAAGAUGACUGUACCUUUACA
rnacentral:lncRNA from 1 species